rnacentral:rRNA from 1 species
AACGAACGCUAGCGGCGUGUUUAACACAUGCAAGUCGAACGCGAAAGGGGCUUCGGUCCUGAGUAGAGUGGCGCACGGGUGAGUAACGCGUAGAUAACCUGUCCUGGUGUCUGGAAUAAUAUCUCGAAAGGGGUGCUAAUACCGGAUAUUCUUGCUUUCUAUCAGGUCUGCAAGGAAAGGUGGCCUCUGGAACAAGCUCCUGCACGAGGAGGGGUCUGCGUAACAUUAGCUUGUAGGUGGGGUAAUGGCCUACCUAGGCGACGAUGGUUAGCGGGUCUGAGAGGAUGAUCCGCCACACUGGUACUGAAACACGGACCAGACUCCUACGGGAGGCAGCAGUGAGGAAUAUUGCGCAAUGGGGGCAACCCUGACGCAGCGACGCCGCGUGAGUGAGGAAGGCCUUCGGGUCGUAAAGCUCUGUCAAAGGGGAAGAAGUGCAUGGUGGUUAAUAUCUGUCAUGUUUGACGGUACCCUUAAAGGAAGCACCGGCUAACUCCGUGUCAGCAGCCGCGGUAA